rnacentral:rRNA from 1 species
AUGGCUCAGGAGCAAUCCAAUCCCAACGAGGUCGUGCUCGGGCAGGAGAUCAACGGCGCGAGGGUGGUCACCCUCAACCGCCCGCGCCAGCUCAACGGCAUCAACGACAGAGUGGUCUAUCUCCUAGCCCAGCUCUUGGAGAAAUGGGAGAAAGAUGCCAAUGCCAAGCUGGUCAUCUUCAAGGGAGCAGGACGUGCAUUUUCUGCUGGCGGGGACCUAAAGAUGUUCUACGAAGGGAGAUCAUCAGAUGAUUCCUGCCUCGAGGUUGUGUAUAGGAUGUACUGGCUCUGCUAUCACAUCCAUACAUAUAAGAAAACCACGGUGGCCCUUGUUAAUGGACUUGUCAUGGGUGGAGGUGCAGCCAUGGUUGCUCCACUGAAAUUUGCAGUUGUCACAGAGAAAACAGUUUUUGCCACCCCCGAGGCAAGUGUUGGACUACACACAGAUUGUAGCUUUUCUUAUAUCCAUUCUCGGCUCCCUGGAUAUUUAGGGGAGUAUCUGGCUUUGACUGGUGCUAGACUGAAUGCAAAAGAAAUGAUCACUGCCGGUCUUGCUACUCAUUUUGUCCAUUCUGAAAAAUUGGAAGAUCUCGAAAAACAAUUACUGAAUUUAAACACAGGCGACGAGUCUGCAGUCCGAGCUGUCAUUGAGGAAUUCUCUACGGAUGUUCAACUUGAUCAAGAGAGUAUUUUAAACAAGCUUCCAACUAUCGAUAAAUGUUUCUCAGCCGAGACUGUUGAGGAGAUCUUGAAAGCACUUGAUUCAGAAGUGAGCGUCGAUGGAAAUCAAUGGAUAGCUCCAGUCCUGAAGAGUAUGAGAAGAUCAUCUCCUACUGGAUUGAAGAUCACACUGCGAUCGGUUAGAGAAGGUCGGAAGCAGAGUCUGCAGGAAUGUUUGAAGAAGGAAUUCGGACUAACAAUGAACAUCCUCCGAUCUAUCAUUACUGGCGAUGUGUACGAGGGUAUUAGAGCUCUGAGCAUCGACAAAGACAAUGCACCUAAGUGGAGUCCUGCAACCGUUGAAGAGGUGAAGAAUGAAGACAUUGACCGUGUUUUCGAACCAUUCAGCUCGGGACAUGAGCUCCAAGUCCCAUCUGAUGAUUCCAACAGGUGGAGCGGCAAAUACGAGCACACGGUCUAUGCUAAAUCUUCACAGUAA